GACGAACGCUGGCGGCGUGCCUAAUACAUGCAAGUCGAGCGAUGAAGCUUGGUGCUUGCACCAAUUUGAAGAGCAGCGAACGGGUGAGUAACGCGUGGGGAAUCUGCCUUUGAGCGGGGGACAACAUUUGGAAACGAAUGCUAAUACCGCAUAACAACUUUAAACAUAAGUUUUAAGUUUGAAAGAUGCAAUUGCAUCACUCAAAGAUGAUCCCGCGUUGUAUUAGCUAGUUGGUGAGGUAAAGGCUCACCAAGGCGGUGAUACAUAGCCGACCUGAGAGGGUGAUCGGCCACAUUGGGACUGGGACACGGACCAAACUCCUACGGGAGGCAGCAGUAGGGAAUCUUCGGCAAUGGACGGAAGUCUGACCGAGCAACGCCGCGUGAGUGAAGGAGGUUUUCGGAUCGGAAAACUCUGUUGGUAGAGAAGAACGUUGGUGAGAGUGGAAAGCUCAUCAAGUGACGGUAACUACACAGAAAGGAACGGCUAACUACGUG
rnacentral:rRNA from 1 species